UACGUAGGGGGCAAGCGUUGUCCGGAUUUAUUGGGCGUAAAGAGCGUGUAGGCGGCCUGACAGGUCAGCUGUGAAAACUCGAGGCUCAACCUCGAGACGUCGGUUGAAACCAUCUGGCUAGAGUCCGGAAGAGGAGUGUGGAAUUCCCGGUGUAGCGGUGAAAUGCGCAGAUAUCGGGAAGAACACCCGUGGCGAAGGCGGCCCUCUGGGACGGUACUGACGCUGAGACGCGAAAGCGUGGGGAGCGAACAGG
rnacentral:rRNA from 1 species